rnacentral:rRNA from 1 species
UACGUAGGGGGCAAGCGUUGUCCGGAAUCAUUGGGCGUAAAGCGCGCGUAGGCGGCCUCACAAGUCCGCUGUAAAAGUCAAAGGCUCAACCUUUGAAUGCCAGUGGGAACUGUGAGGCUAGAGUCCGGAAGAGGCGAGUGGAAUUCCUGGUGUAGCGGUGGAAUGCGCAGAUAUCAGGAGGAACACCAACGGCGAAGGCAGCUCGCUGGGACGGUACUGACGCUAAGGCGCGAAAGCGUGGGGAGCAAACAGG